AGGGGGGCGAGGGGUGCAGCGGGUUAGCACAGUUGGAAUGUAAUCUGCACUUCUAUCCAAAAAGUGCAUGUUUGUCCCUCAUUAAUAAACCCCAUGACCUUCUUUGAAGUCUUUUUCUGUAUCAGCCUCUUCCAGCUGUGUUGAGAAUAUCUGUUUCACAGCAAUCCACCUCUUUCUUUAAGUCAGUAUUUCUGCAUAUUUCCUAUGAGCCUUAUAUCCAUUCAGAGCACGGACUCUCUGAGAGGGGGCUUUUCUCUCUUUAUUAACCACGCUGCCUCCUUGUUGAAUUCCUUAACAGCUGUUGUUGUACUGCAAGUCACAUCAUCCUGAUAUCAUCCCAGCUGAACACAUUACUGAAAUUCAUUCUUUUUGGGUCACAUGCGCUGUCAUAACGUUUAUAUGCAAGCACCGGUUAUGCAGCCCCAAUUUGUCUCUUUACCUUUAAAAUCGCUAAGACAAUGAGUAUUCUUCAAAGAGAGUCAUUAGAAAUGUCUCCAAUAGCAUUAAAGCAGGUCAGCCCAUGAAUAAAGCCGGCGUGCCAUUGGCUGGAGCGGCUCCAUAACAUUUGGAAAGGAAUGGAAAGCUUUUAGGCUGUUUUAGGAUUGGAAACUGGAAGGAAGCCAGCAAAGCAAAUCAGCAAAGGUGGAUUUAUCUCAAUUCUGGAGUUUCUGAUGACUCCAAACACCAACCGGAGUUAUUCCAGUGACAAAUGGGAGUUAUCACAGCCUGCUUUAGC